GGCCGGGUGGCAGAGUGGUCAUGCAGCGGAUUGCAAAUCCGUCAACGCCGGUUCGAUUCCGACCUCGGCCUCCA
rnacentral:tRNA from 6 species